UACGUAGGGUGCAAGCGUUGUCCGGAAUUAUUGGGCGUAAAGAGCUCGUAGGCGGUUUGUCGCGUCGGCUGUGAAAACCUGAGGCUCAACCUCGGGCCUGCAGUCGAUACGGGCAAACUAGAGUUCGGUAGGGGAGACUGGAAUUCCUGGUGUAGCGGUGGAAUGCGCAGAUAUCAGGAGGAACACCAAUGGCGAAGGCAGAUCUCUGGGCCGUAACUGACGCUGAGGAGCGAAAGCGUGGGGAGCAAACAGG
rnacentral:rRNA from 1 species